rnacentral:rRNA from 1 species
GGGGAAUUUUGCACAAUGGGCGCAAGCCUGAUGCAGCGACGCCGCGUGAGGGAUGGAGGCCUUCGGGUUGUGAACCUCUUUCGCUCAUGGUCAAGCCGCGGAUGUGUCCGUGGUGAGGGUAGUGGGUAAAGAAGCGCCGGCUAACUACGUGCCAGCAGCCGCGGUAAUACGUAGGGCGCGAGCGUUGUCCGGAAUUAUUGGGCGUAAAGGGCUUGUAGGCGGUUUGUCGCGUCUGCCGUGAAAUUCCCUGGCUUAACUGGGGGCGUGCGGUGGGUACGGGCAGGCUUGAGUGCGGUAGGGGAGACUGGAAUUCCUGGUGUAGCGGUGGAAUGCGCAGAUAUCAGGAGGAACACCGGUGGCGAAGGCGGGUCUCUGGGCCGUUACUGACGCUGAGGAGCGAAAGCAUGGGGAGCGAAC